GCUUGGAAAGAUCAGCAGGGGUCAGACUCUGUGGAGCCACAGUAAGGAAUUCAUCCUGAGCAUGACGGGAAAACUAUUGAGGGCUUCCAUUGGGAAUGUGACAGCAUAGAGCUAUGUUAAAUGCAUGGCUGCUGGAGCCAGCCUGCCCGGGUGCAGAUCUCAACUCCACCAUUUCCUAGCUAUGUGAUAUGGUUCUUUUCCUAGAACCAAAAUCAGGAUGUGGCAGAGUCUGUCUAGAUCUUUUUAAAAAAUCCAACUUUCUCUCCCUGAGAACUGAGGAAGGCUGUAUUUCCCAGCUUCUGAUGAAGUUAAAUUGGGUUUAUGAGACUAGAGCUGGCCAAUGGAAGAGCCACACCAUGGGAGAAUCUGGGUCCGGAUCCCUGAGUCAUCACUGAAGAGCUGCCCAGAAGAGUAACCUAAUUGACAUCAGACUGCGAGGUGACUUGGAAAUAAACAUUUUAUUGUGU
rnacentral:lncRNA from 1 species